GAGGAUCAGUGUGAAAUUCAACUGGGAAUCUAAAAUAUUGUGCCUCUCUUCUCCCAGUAUAUUAAGAAAAUGGUGGUAUGGAGAUAACACCUACAAAGUCACUUCACACACAUAAAUGCAUAUUUUUCCAUAUUUCAAGCAAAAUAAAUGCACAACUGUCUGCACCAGUCCAUGGAGAGAGAAGUGUAAGAUCUUGGAGCUGUACAAUGGAACUUGCUUGCCAGAUUAUUUUUUUUACAGACAGCAGAAACAGGCAAAUAAGGCCAAGAUUAAAAUUUUAACAGCUCUUCAUCCUCAGAGAAUAACAGCAUUGUCUGAGCUGGAAGGGACCCAGAAGGACCAUCAAGUCCAACUCUUAAAUGAAAGAUCCAUACAAGAAUCAAACCCACAACCCUGGCAUUAUUAUUCCUGGCAGUCUGUUCUCCAGGCCUGGAGGUUCAAAAGGGUAACAGAAAAAUCUGGAGAAAUGCCAACAAGAGAGAACAAGGGAAAUCCUCACUACAGUGUACCAAUGAAAAGAAAAAAUGUUUCUAUAAUUUCCUUAUAAUACAGUUUCUAUACAGUACUGAGAGGCUACUUACGUGAUCAGAACAGAGAAAGACCCUUUCCAUCCAUGCAACAGUAUAGGAGGGUCAAGUUGGAACAGCUCCAGUGGUAAGGCUGUGGCAGUCAUCCUGCAAUGAGCACAGUUGGGGGAAACCUGCUGCCUGUACCUUCAACCACAUUUCCUCACCAUCUCCUUGCUGAUCUCCGCUCAUUUCUGGAGUGCAGGCAGACUUUUCCCCACUAGAGGUACCAGCAGAGCAUGCUGAUAAUUGUUAUUUCCUGUAUUUGCCAGAAAAUCAAGCCUAACUUUGUGUUGUGGGAGACACACUGGAAUGAAUCUCUGUGUAUCAUUUGCCAGCCCUCAGAUGAGCAACUGGAAAUAAAAGCAUGGCUGUAC